AGUGAACGCUGGCGGUAGGCCUAACACAUGCCAGUCGAACGGCAGCACAGUAAGAGCUUGCUCUUACGGGUGGCGAGUGGCGGACGGGUGAGGAAUACAUCGGAAUCUACUUUUUCGUGGGGGAUAACGUAGGGAAACUUACGCUAAUACCGCAUACGACCUACGGGUGAAAGCAGGGGAUCUUCGGACCUUGCGCGAUUGAAUGAGCCGAUGUCGGAUUAGCUAGUUGGCGGGGUAAAGGCCCACCAAGGCGACGAUCCGUAGCUGGUCUGAGAGGAUGAUCAGCCACACUGGAACUGAGACACGGUCCAGACUCCUACGGGAGGCAGCAGUGGGGAAUAUUGGACAAUGGGCGCAAGCCUGAUCCAGCCAUACCGCGUGGGUGAAGAAGGCCUUCGGGUUGUAAAGCCCUUUUGUUGGGAAAGAAAAGCAGCAGGUUAAUACCCCGCUGUUCUGACGGUACCCAACGAAUAAGCACCGGCUAACUUCGUG
rnacentral:rRNA from 1 species